rnacentral:lncRNA from 1 species
CGAAGACUUGAUCGAGAACGCUNCGCAUAAAUAAAGGUUGAUUCCCACAACAAGAAUCAGACUGGCCAUUCAUAGUAGAAAUCCAAUUAUAUACAUAGCAUUAGAAGUCAACUUUUUGACCAACAACGAGAGAGACAGAAACAACCAUUUUAUUUGAUAUAAUAGACAUUAAAAACUAAGCCAACGUACAUAUAACCAUAACACUUAAAUGCUCAGGCCACUAUUUACUAGUUAAACAUAGCUUUUACUUGAGGAUUUACAGAGAGUAACACAACGUCAACAUAUAUAUAUUUUUUGGGUACUGAACCAUAGACAUCGUCAUAUUCACUGAUAAUGAUUCAAGUUAAAGAUUAGGUCAUAGAUUACAUUAAUAGCAAACAAAGUUCAUUCAUAUAAGAUAAGCUAAUUCAGGAAAUGAGAAAUCCAAGCACCCAACCCUAAACUUAUGUCCCAUUUAAAAAUUCCCAGAUCUAUGAAAAAUUUAUAUUGAGCUCUUGUUUGAUUCCCUUUUUGGGGGAAAUAAUGUAUUUUGAAUAGUAAAUUGAUGGUAAAUGCAGUUAAAAAUUAAGAAAAUUUUUUGAAUUUGCGUUUAAUUAUUUUAUUAAAGACUGGUUGAAAAUAAAUUUUAAAAAAUGAAUUUUUAAAAGAAUGAGAAUCAAAUAAGGCUAAAAUGGACAAUUAGAUCUAGAAAAGGAAUUACGAUUGACCAAAAUUUUAAAUUAACGGUUGAAGUCUUCACAUAAAAAAAAAAAAAAAAAAAGAGAGGUAGAAAUAGGAACACGGGAACUUAGAAAUAGGGAAAAAUAAAUAAAUAAAAAAAUUCAUGUAACCGAGUCUUAAAAUGGAAAGACUACAAUCACCCCCAAGAGACGAGCAAAGAAGGAAGUUAGUAGCACCUGCGUCGAUCCAUCUACAUCAACAUUGUUUUGACCAUCUUUCUCCUUUAAAGUAUUUAAUACUCACAAAGAUAAUUUAGAUGUGAGUUAUUACUUUUGGCUUUUAUUGGAAACAAAAAUGGAUGGAAUAAUAUUUUUUUAAAAAAAUGAGUAAUUAAAAAAGAAAGAAAUAUUUUUAAUUUAAGUAUAAUAUUAUUUUAUAAAAGAUUUUUUGAUUGAAAAUAAAAGAGAAAAAAAU